GCUAAAAUGACCAAUAAUUUCAACGGUGAAAAACUAGGAAAAGGAGGGUUUGGUGUAGUUUAUAAAGGGUACUUAAGGGACUCGGAUACUUAUGUUGCUGUUAAACGGAUUUCAAAGGCCUCUAAGCAAGGAAUUAAGGAAUAUGCAUCUGAAGUGAAGAUUAUUAGCCAAUUAAGGCACAAGAAUCUUGUGAAGCUUAUUGGUCAGUGUCAUGAAAAAGGAGAACUUAUACUUGUUUAUGAGUUAAUGGCUAAUGGCAGCCUAGAUUCCUAUCUUUUUAAAGGUAAGACCUUAUUGACCUGGGAAGUGAGAUUUAAAAUUGUGCAGGACCUGGCAUCAGCACUAUUCUAUCUUCAUGAAGAAGGUGACCAUUGCGUACUACACAGAGAUAUCAAAGCGAGCAACAUUAUGUUAGAUUCUAGUUUCAAUGCUAAACUUGGGGAUUUCGGGCUUGCUAGGCUAGUGGAUCAUGAAAAAGCGUCACAAACCACCCAUUUAGCUGGGACUUUGGGCUAUUUGGCACCUGAAUGUGUUUCAUCGGGAAAAGCUAGUAAGGAAUCGGAUGUCUACAGCUUUGGAGUUGUGGCAUUGGAGAUUGCAUGCGGUAGAAGAUCAAUAGAGUCCAAAUAUGAAGAAUCUCAAGUUCCAUUGGUAGCUUGGGUGUGGGAUUCAUAUGGAAGCCAACGGUUGCUUGAUGUGGCUGACCCAAAAUUAAGUAUGAACUUUGAUGCGAAACAAAUGGAAUGCUUGUUAAUGAUUGGAUUGUGGUGCGUCCAUCCAGACCAGCAUUUUAGACCGUCGAUAAGGCAAACAAUUCAGGUUCUUAAUUUUGAAGCACCAUGGCUGAAGCUUCCAAGUACGAGGCCAACUGCUACAUAUAAUGCACAAAUCACUUCAGAAAUUCAAACAAGUGAGCCAUGUUUUUCUGAUAUGAGUAUUAUGGUCCCGCGUUAGAUAUACAUAAUAUUCAAAUUGAUUGUCUAUUGACAAUAAUAUAUAUAUUAAUACAUAUUUAAUGAUUAAAUGCUUCAAAUAUAUGAAAUAAAUAGUUUAAAUUUACACAACAAUGGACAAUGAGCUACAAUAUGGCCGAAUAUUUGCUUGGCCGAACGAACAAAAAUACCCUAAAGGCAGACCCAAUCCGCCAUAUUUUUGUCAUUAAAAAUAAAAAGAAAUUAAGAAAGGGCAUAUUUGAGUGUUGGGCAAUUAAUUGAGUCAUAUUUUCAUGGGUUGUAUAAAAAACUUUUGAGUCGGAUACUAUGGCUUUAGGAUAUAGAUAUAUUAUGUAAAUUAUAAAAUUUUUGGGUCCAAUCGAAUUAUUAUUAUUUCUCCAAAGCCCGAAUUGAAUACAAAGAUGGGAUUCUUUAUAUAAUACAUACAGAUCUUAGAAAAAUUAAAAAAGUAAAAAGUAUACGAAUCCUAAAAAUUAUAGGCUACCACUACCACCACUUCAACAUCAGUGGUAACCGUGGCCGGGGCAAGGACAACAAAUAAUAUGCUCUGAUGAAGAGUCGCCACCACCACACAUGGAUGCACCUCCAACGUCACUAAUAUCGUUUAAUUAUUAAAAUAUUUUAAAAUAUAUUGUUUAAUUAUCUGUGGUAAGCUGCCAAAGAGUUUGCUUCUUUACCUUUUUGCAAAUCUUUGCUGAACUCUCUUGGUAAUCCUAAUUAACCACCAUGGUUUUCCAGUUGUGAGUACAAUGUAUCCCAAGCUUACUCCCAGCACCAACCCACAUCCGUAUCCCAUCAGUAUAGAAAAUCUCCAAUUCAGUUCAUCGUCAUCUCCAUCAAAUUUGGCUGGAAUUUUCUAAUCAUUAUCUCAUCUGUUUGGUAAUGGCAGCCCGCAAAAACCCAAGUUUCCUAUGUAGGAAUCAUUAGUGAAAGUAUUAAUUUGUUUUCCUUGAGGAAGGGGUCCUGUUAUAUUAUUUUGAGAAAGGUUUAACACCACUAAGAAUCCAAGAUUCGUUAAUUCCAUUGGAAUUCUUCCUUGGAACAUGUUUGAUGAGAGAUCUAAUGAUUCAAGCUCUAGCAAAUCACCUAAUGAUGAUGGGAUAGGACCUGUUAAACUAUUAUGAGAAAGGUUUAGGACAAUAAGUGAAUGAAGUUCACCAAGUGCUUUAGGAAUUUCUCCCAAAAAUUUAUUAUUCAAAAAGUCAAUUACCAUCCAGCUGGGUAAUAGUGAUUCAAACUCCAUUCCCAACCCUUUAGCUACAAAAGAUAAACCUUGCACAUCAUAAUACCACAUUCCAUUAGCCAUUGCAUUUAUCAUGUCUUCUGGUUCACCUUUCUUUUCAUACUCUUUUCUAAUGGCAUGCAAAUUCUCAAAAAAAAAAAAAAAAAAACUUGAUAGGUAAGUAGCAACUAAAAUUAUUAUGAGAAAAAUCAAUGACAUCCAACUUUUUCUGAUGAGUCACUCAUCUUUGUGUAUUGUGGUGGAGCAAUUGGAACAUAUACACACAUACAAAAAUUCAAAGAUGAGAAAUAUUUAGCUCUUGAUCAAAAAUUAAUUGUAAUGUGAGGUAUUUAUAACACGUAAAUCAACAUAAUCUCAUGUUGAAAUAGAAAGUUUAAUUCUCUUAAGUAAUAGUUUAGACAUAAAUCAAAGGUAUUUAAUCAAUAAUUUCUCUAAACCAUUAUGCGCAAACUUUUACAAAAGUUUUUCAAACUCAAUCAAUAAAAAAUUGAGAUAUGAACUCAUCAGUGUUAGUAAAAUGAAUUGUCUUAAUUGCAUUAUCUAAAACUAAUUGUUUAAACAAGCAAUCUUCCAAACAAUAGGUUGCAAAUUGAUAACACAUAUGUGAUUAUUUUGUAGAUGCAUCUACCAAAAUCAUAUAAUAUCAAAACCAUCCAUAUGGUGGAUGACUGGGCUAAUAUUCAUUUUAGAAAUGCAAAAUAUUGAAUCUCAGCUUUAGCUAGUGAGUUUGUAAUAAUCAAUUAUCAUUGAGAACAAGCAACACAUGAGAAUUUUUUAAAUUAAAGAAUCUUAUGAUUCUUUAAAUCUCAAUUAAUUUUCACAUCCUAUAUAAUCCAAGAUGGUUUAACUAGUCAUGCCAAAUAGUAAAUGUCAAUAUAAAUUUUGACAAUUUAUAAUUUCAUCAUCAUUUUCUUUUAUUUUGUAUCGACAUAUAAACAAUAUUGUGAUAUUUACUUCAAGAAAUGUCUACAUUAAUGUGAAGUCCAUAAUGUUAUUAACUCACUAAAAUAAAUAUAAUUUGCAAUAUAUUCAGGUAAUAUGCCAAAAUCUUCAAAUGUUCAAAUUAACAUUAAUAAUCAAAAGAAAUUAUACAAUUUGUUAUAUUUAUUGCAAUCAUUCACUUCAAGGGAUGUGCAAAAAUCAGUGGAACAAAUAAUUUAUUAUUUUUUUUGACCUUAAAAAGGCAUUAGAUCAAUCCAAAAAUACUUUUAAAACCAUUUUCGCAAGAGUUUUUCAUUAUCAAUUAACUAGAAAGAAAUAACCAAAUCAUUCAUGGUGUUUAUUGCAAAUCAAAUGUACGGACAAAACUAACAUUUAAAAUAUCAAACUUGAUAUAAUGCUAGUGCCAACAAAAAAAAAAUCAUAAACCAUUGCAUACAUGUAUGAAAUUCACUUCAAAAUCAUACAUCCCAUGUUCACUAAAACUUUUCCAUUUAUAAUUGUUCAUAUAAUUUCUCUAAAUAAUUAACAAAUAUAAAGUGUAUGAAUUACCUUUAACAACUUUACAAAAAUAACAAGUUUCCCAAGGUUAUAUAGUAAGAAAAUAUAAGGCAUUUACAAAAUCAAAUCACACGAAUUGUUUUAAUGCUUCUUAUCAAACAACAAUUGGCUAAUACAAACAAUAUUCAUAUAAAUGCAAACGGUCAAAUUAAUAUAGUAAUUCUCAUUUAAGUUUGUGAAAAUGUUUUCAACCAAAAUAAUUCAAGAAUUAAAAAUGACAACAAUUAAAUUUGAAAUUCAAUAUUAGAACCAACCCAAAAAUCAAUUUAGACAUUCCUCAAAAAGUCUUUAAAACUACACAUGUAUGAGUAUUGAAAAAUUUCAAAUUGUAUAACCAAAAUAAUAAAAGACAUUAAAAGAACGUAAUCUAUAUUUAUAUUAAAUCAAAUCUGAACAAUCAUAAAUUUCAUAGCUUUAUCAACACAAAUUUACAUACUAUUAUAUUUUUAGCCAAAUACAUUAUUUAAUUAUAAAACUUACUAUAGCAAGAUAAAGAAGUCAAUUAAUAUUCAUUUUUAUGAACAAAUAAGAUGUUUUAAACCACAACCCAUGAAACCAAAACUUAAAUUAAAAUAAUCUCAAAUACUUAAACCAUAAAUCAAAUUGAUGUAAUAUCUAAAGAUGCUAUUAUUGAGAAUAAGUGUAAAGAUAGAGAUCUAAUGAAGUUUAUGUACCUUUCUUGUUCAACGAAGUCUUGAUGAUCUUAUUUCACAAUUUCAAUAGAUAGUGAUAUUAAAUCCUUCACCAUCAUUAAAUAAAAUAAACUUCCUGUAAAAACUUUGCAUCUUGCCAUCAAAGAUCUUGGAAAUCAUGGAGAAUAUAUUUGAUCGUCGAUAAAAGGAACUAUCACUUUGAGCAAGAUCGUGUUCAUAACGUGUUAUAAAAUAAAGAGACAUAGAGGGAAUAAAGAACAAAGAAAAUAUGAAAGCAAUAGAGGAUAUACUUCAUUGAUCAAAAGGGAUGAUUGCAAUAUUUUAUCAUAGUCUCUAUUUAUAGAUAUAAGAAGUAUAAAAGAGGUAGAGAUCUAAUUCAAAUAACUAUUAGAAUUUAAAGUACACCAAAAUUUUGACGGUUUAUUUUCCUGCUUUUUGGUUUUGCUGCAUUGUUGGUUGGAUGUUGUCAGUCAUUGUAACACCCCUUAACCCUAAACCGUCACCAGAACAGGGUUACGGAGCAUUACCGGAUAUAUCGGAUAACUUAUAGCUAGUUCACAAAUAAAUAACAGAUAUAGCAUACUUGUAUUAAAUAUGUCAUAUUAGUUUCAUUUCAUACUACCAAAAUCAUUUCAUGAACUAUAUCAGUAUCUAUUUCUUGAACCGAUGGUUCAUACAUUUCAUUUCCAUAUCUCAAUUUAAUAUCUCAUUUCGAUUCAUAUUCAAGAUUAUUCAAUAAAAUUUAUAUUAUCAAAAUUAUUCAUUUACCCCUAUUAACUUGACUCGAACUUUGGCAGAUACACGGAUUCCAACCAACACACCAAUACGGCACAUAGUGCCUAAUACGGUACAUAGUACCUGAUAAGUAAUCAGUAACGGUAGCAGUAACAGUAACAGUAUUCAACACACAAAGUGCUGAAUCUGUAACAGUAACAGUAACAGUAUUCGACACACAAAGUAUCGAAUCAGUAACAGUAACAGUAGUCGGCACAUAAGUGCCUGAACAGUAAGCCGGCAAAAACCCGUACUCUUUCAUAUCCUAUGGCAUGCCAACUAUAUCCGACUCAGCCCGACUAGUUAAUAGGGUGUUCAAAUCAUUUUUCUAUUUCAAAAUCAUUUUCGAUUCAAUCACAAUCCAGAUUCACUUCCCACUUUCUAAUCAAUAUACAAUUCAAUUCCAAUACAUAUUUCAGAUAUUCACAUAUAAUCAUAAUUUAAUCCACUUUUAUUCAAUUCAUAUUUUUAUUUUCAAUCUAUCAACAAAUAUAUUUCAUCAUACACUAUAUAAUUCAUGAAAUUAACAUUUAAUCGUUAAAUUUCAGCCAUAUGAACUUACAAUUUCAUUACCUUUCCACACUCAUUUCCAUUUCAAUGUAUAACUUAUAAAUUUAACGUGGCAUAAUCUAGCCACUACUUGGCCAAAGCCUAAGCAUGUACACCAAAUAUGUUAGCCAAAUACACAUAUAGCAUAAGCAUUAUAAGCAUGGAUGAGCACAACAUUUAUUCAUGUAUCACACUUACCAACAUGUGUUGAUUCAUAAACCAUUCAUGACAUUAUUUCAUGCCAAAUUAUAUACCGAAUAUACCAUAUACACAUACUAUGAAACUAUAUUUUCACACAUAAGCUUAGACCAUGACCAAUAAUGCACAAAUAUAAUCAUCAUUUCUAUUUCAUCAUUUAUCAAUUAUAAUCAAGUAUAUGACCAAUUAUACACAAAUCAUUCAUAUAUUUCCCAAUUUUCCUCCUCCUCCUCUCCAUUCCACAUCCUUAAUGUGUAUAACACACUUAAACUACAUUAAUUAUAAUUCCACUAUUCACUCACAUGUAUAUUCAAAGCUGUUUAUUCGGGUCAAAGUCACUAAAUUAUUUUCAUCCGGAGCUACAGAGCUCCAAAUUAAGAUCCGUUAAUUUUUCCUGAAACUAGACUCACAUAUCUUCUUGCCGUAAAAUUUCAGAAUUUUUGGUUCAACUAAAUAGUACAGUUUAUUCUUUAAAGUUUCCCCUGUUUUGCUGUCUAACAGUUCCGACCACUCUUCACUAAAAAUGAAUUGUCUAAUUGUACAAAUUCGGAUGAUGUUUCCGUUUGUUUCCUUUGAAAAUAGACUCAUCAAGGAUUCUAAGAAUAUAAAUUAUAACUCAUAAUUAUUUUUUUACAAUUUUUAACAAUUUUCCAAAGUCAGAACAGGGGAACCCGAAAUCAUUCUGACAUUAUCUCACAAAAUUUAAUAUAUCUCAUGAUUUAAAAUUCUAUUGCUUACACCGUUUCUUCUAUGAGAAACUAGACUCAAUAAGAUUUAAUUUCAUAUUUUAUUCACCCUCUAAUUCAAUUCCCAUAAUUUUUGGUGAUUUUUAAAAGUUACACUACUGCUGCUGCCAAAAACUGCUUUAGUGCAAAAUGUUGAUUUCCAUUUUGCCCCCAAAUUUCACAGUUUAUGCAAUUCGGUUCUUUCUCAAUUAACCCCUCAAUUAAUCUAAUUUUCUCAAUUAAUAAUUUACCUAGACAUUAUAAGUUAUUUCACAACUAUUGAAAUUCAGAAUUUUCACAUAUAACCCUAACUUCAAACUCUUUUACUAUUAGGUCUCAAACAUUCACUUUCUAUUCAUUUCUCUCAAUAAAACCAGUAUAUGAAAAAUUUAAAGCUCUAAUUCCAUGCUAAAUCAUCAUAUACUUCCAGCAUGCAUUCAUAGCAACUAAAAAUGAACUGUCUAAUUGUACAAAUUCGGAUGAUGUUUCCGUUUGUUUCCUUUGAAAAUAGACUCAUCAAGGAUUCUAAGAAUAUAAAUUAUAACUCAUAAUUAUUUUUUUACAAUUUUUAACAAUUUUCCAAAGUCAGAACAGGGGAACCCGAAAUCAUUCUGACAUUAUCUCACAAAAUUUAAUAUAUCUCAUGAUUUAAAAUUCUAUUGCUUACACCGUUUCUUCUAUGAGAAACUAGACUCAAUAAGCUUUAAUUUCAUAUUUUAUUCACCCUCUAAUUCAAUUCCCACAAUUUUUGGUGAUUUUUAAAAGUUACACUACUGCUGCUGCCCAAAACUGCUUUAGUGCAAAAUGUUGAUUUCCAUUUUGCCCCCAAAUUUCACAGUUUAUGCAAUUCGGUCCUUUCUCAAUUAACCCCUCAAUUAAUCUAAUUUUCUCAAUUAAUAAUUUACCUAGACAUUAUAAGUUAUUUCACAACUAUUGAAAUUCAGAAUUUUCACAUAUAACCCUAACUUCAAACUCUUUUACUAUUAGGUCUCAAACAUUCACUUUCUAUUCAUUUCUCUCAAUAAAACCAGUAUAUGAACAAUUUAAAGCUCUAAUUCCAUGCUAAAUCAUCAUAUACUUCCAGCAUGCAUUCAUAGCAACUUUCAACUUCUUUCAUAGAAUCAAAAACUAAUGAGUUCAACAAGUGGGCCUAGUUGUAAAAGUCACAAAAAUACAAAAACUUAAAGAAAUGAUCAAGAAUUGAACUUACUUGCAGUAAAAAUAUGGAGAACCAGCUUAAGGAAACCCUUCUAUGGUGUUUUAGCUGAUGAGAAUGCAGAAAAAUAAAGAGAAAUCUAGAUAAUUCCACUUUGGUCCUAACUUUAUUAAGUAAAUUUUACAAUAUUCCAAAUUUGCCCUUAAUUCUCCAGACUUUGUUGCUGAUUUCAUGCCCUUGCCGUCCAGCCCAAAUAGACUUUGGAUCUAUUUGCCUUUUAAGCCCUCUUCCUUUUAUCAUUUAAGCUAUUUAAUCAUUUCUCAAAAUUUUGCAUUUAUUACAACUUAGUCCUUUUUGUUCAAUUAAUUAUCGGAACUUUAAAAUUUAUUAACGAAACUUUAAUACUAACUUUUUAACACUCCAUAAAUAUAAAUAUUUAUGGAUCGGUUUAAAAUCUCCGAGGUCUCGAUACCAUGUUUUUUUAUUCUAAUUAUUUUAAUAUUUAUUUCUAGUGCACUAUUCACUAUUUCAAAAAUUUUCCUAACUUCACAUUUAAUUUAUACUCACUAAAUUAAUAAUAUUUUCUACUCAUUUGUCGAAUUUAGUGAUCUCGAAUCACAAUUCCGACACCUCUAAAAACUCAGGCCAUUACAUUUUUCCUCGUCGGAUUUGUGGUCCAAAAAUCAUUGUUCCGACUAGACCCAAAAUCGGGUUGUUACAGUCGUUGUCUUGAGCCAUUCGCUCGGUUUUAAUGAAUAUCAGCUUUAUCUCAAAAAAAAAGUACACCAAAACUUUAUCUUGAUCAUGAUGGACAUCCACUUAAUAAGAUGUUCAUAACAAUAAUUAAUUUUAAUUUUUAUAUAAAAAUAAUAUUUUAUACUUAAAAUAAUGAAAAUAUAUAUUUAAAAAACUACUUUCUAUUUUUACUUGAUAUUUUUAGAAAUAUUUAUAAAAUAUACUUUGAAAAUUUACCAAAUAUUAUUCAAACGUUCAUUUUAUUUAAAUAACUCUAAAAACAAAAAUCUAAUAUAAAAAAUAUAAAAACCAAACCAAUCCAAAUUAAAUUAAAUUAAAACAAAGCUGAUUUUAUUUAGACUGAUCACAUUCUUUGACACAAAUCCUACUCCUCAACGCCGUCUAUUCGGUGCAGCAAUUAAGUGGUGAAAACGGUGGGGAAACUCAUUGGUUUUGCGCUCCAUACGUCAAUAGCAAGACGUCUCUCGUUAUUUGUUGUCUUACUAAAAUUAUAUUUUUAGGGUAGAAAAACAUUUAUUUAAUCUUCCAAAGUCUCAAAAAUUAUUAUCAAAGGUUAAAAUAAUUUGUUUAUUUUAUUUAAUUCUCAAGUUUAAAAUCUAUGUUAUUAAUUAAAUAAAAAUUAUAUACCCUUUUUAAGUUUGGUAUGUGAUAAAAGUUUUUUAUUUCACAUAUAAAUCGCAUACAUCUUAAAGAAAUAAUAUUUCACAUGACAUUUAUAAUUACUCAUAAUUUUUUUAUUCAAAUUGAAUCUAUUAGGGAUGAAUUUAAAAUUAGUAUAAUAGUAAAUAAAUGUUCGGUGUAAUGAUAAAAUAUAUUAUAUUUUUUUAAAAAAUUUCAUAUUUAAAUUUUAAAAAUUACAUUAUUAGGAAAUAAAUAAUGAAUGCUAAAAAGAAUUAAUCUUAACAAAUCGUAAAACGUUGUGAAGAAUACUUUAAUUAUAAAAAGAAAACAAUGAAAGGGAAAUUGGUUAAUGUGGCCAAGUCAAGGUCUUUGCAUUGGCCAUAAAUGAAAACAUUUACUUGUGAAGAUAGGGAGUUGAGACUUUUGUAAGUCAAGGUCUUUGCAAUUUGCAAACGUAUUGAUUGGCUCAACCUAAACACGUGGGAGUGGAAGCAAUAGUUAUAUGCUCUUCAUUUGUUUAUUCUUCAAAAAGAAAAUCAAACUACAUUCUCACCAUGUUAAAAUUGAAUAUAAACUUACUUAGGGUGUGUAGUAAUUUUAAAUUUGUGAAGAUUUUUAAAAUGUUAGUAUCAAGGGGUGAAUCUGAAAUUUUUUGGAAGAGACGUGAUUAAGUUAUAUAUUUUUAUGAGAGUUUAAAUGUAAUUUUUCUAAUGUUUUAGCAUAUAUCUUUAUAGUUUUAAGGCUACAUCAAAAUUUUAUCAAUUUUAAGGGUUAAACUAUAAUUUUCUUUAGGGGUGAAGCUAGAAUUUUUUUUAGGGGUAAAAUUAAAUUAUAAUUUUUACGAUAGUAAAAAUGUAAUUUCAUCAUUUGAAUAUCCUAUAUUUUUAUAAUUUUUAAAGGAUUAAAUCAAUUUUUUAUCAUUUUUAGGGGUGGCCAAAAUUUACCUUUACUAAUUUAAAAUUUUAAAAAUUCUAAAGGAUCUAAAUGAAAAUUAUUUCAUUUUAGGGGGGACCAGGACCCUUGUCAACCCCCUAAAUAUGCCCCUAAUUUUAUUAUGUAUUAAUUUAAACUUUAAUAAAUUUUGAGGGGCCUAAAGCAAAACUUUCCAAUUUUAGGCCCAAGCCUUUGCCUGCCCUUGAAUUUUAAACUUAUGAAUUGAAAAUAUUAGUAUUUGUAAUUAUUUUGUUUGUAUAAAUAAUUUUUUUUAGAAAGAUUUAGAAUAUUGAAUUUUAUGAGUUAAAAUAUAAUUAUGAAAGAAAAUUAAUGAUAUUUUUGAUAUAGUAUUUAGAACUAUUUAUAGUCCCUCCCCAAUCAUUAAAUAAAAGGAUAACGUACUUCAAUGCACUCUAAUCUACAUUUUCCUACACUAGUAAUAAUGUCGAUACCGGUGGAGUUAAGACUCAAUCAACAAAAAAAAUUAAUGAUAUUAAAAAUAAAUAAUAUAAAAUUAUAAAAUUAGAUUUGUAAAAAUAUAUAAAUAUUAUAAAUAAUAUAAAAUAUAUUAAAUAAAUAAAUAAAAAUAACAUGUUGUAGAUGAGAAAAUUUGAAAGACUAACUUUUUCAUAUGAAAUUUGAAUAAAAAAAAUUCGAAUUACUCAAAUCACCUUUUAAAAUUUCUUUUAAAUUUUAAAUUCUUAUUUUUAUCUAACCAAGUAAAUAUAUUUUUGAAACUUUUGAAAACCUUAGUAGAAACUAAAUUCUUCCUCUAAACCCCUUAUCCAAAUAUACUUCAAAUUAUACUCUUAGGGUUUAUAAUUUUACAUUCAAUAAAUAACAAAUUUUGUAUUAAAUAAAAGAUAAUUAUUUGAGGUAUUUGUGGCGAAAUUUUUUAACUAUACGAAUAGAUUGAGAAAUUAACACAUAUAUUUAAAUUAUAUUUAAAAAAUUUAAAUAAAUAAAUAAAAUAUGUGAUAAAUUUUUAAUACCACUUGUAAAGAUAAUCUGACACUUCUAUCACAUUUUUACAUUUCAACAAAUAAGUAACUUGAGUUAAAAACAAACUUUAAUUUAAAAUCAGUUUAAACAGGCUUUUAAGGAAAUUUGUUUAUAUUCUAAUUUCAACCUUUGUUAUGAAUUAACUUUUUUUUCUAAUAAUAUAUCAAAUAUUAAAAAAAUAAAUCAAGGAAAAUAUGAAUAAGUGGACCUAUUCAUAAACAUUUAGUUUUUUUUUGUUUUUAAUAAACAUUUUCGGCUUCAACGUAUAUGUAUGGGACCUCCCAUGCAAAAUAUUUUAACAACUUGCUAAUAUAUAAAUUAUUUUCAUUUGCAAAGGGUGAGUUUGGAUGGGUUGUGCGUUAACCUGUAGUUAGUAUAAUAACAGCAGUGGCGGUGAUAUUAAAUACUGUAGCGAUACUGUAACGUGAAACAAAAAGUAGACUAAACGCACCGCAUCCAAUCCCCCAUCCAAACUCACCAAAAAUCAUACAAAACAUCCAGUCACACUACAAUAAUUGAACAUUUCUCAUAUCUCAAACCAAAGUGUUCACUCUACCUCUCUUUUUCCAUUUUUCUCCAUAGGCGGCCAGAUAAUUUUCUUCGUCUUGCUUUUUGAUUCAUUUUCUAAGAAACUUCCCAAAAUUUCAUAGUCUAAUAUCUUUAUGAAAAACCCAAUCUUUCAAUCCAUUUUGUGUUCUUUCAAAUCAAGCAAAGAGGAGCUCUAGAAUCCCUCUCCAGAAAUCCUCCAACAUGUUCAUUCAUCGACUCCUUUUUGCUUCAAUAUUCAUAGUGUGUUGCCUCACAACGCUUACAAAUGGAGCUUCACUUCCAAAUGGUGAAGGUAAUUCAUAAUAUUACUCUACAAAGAAGCUUGAUUUGCUUAAUUAUUUUUUUUAAUAAAUUUCAGUACCCUUUUUCUUUUGUUAUAGUGGAAGCUUUGAGAAGUAUUGGUAACACAUUGGGGAAGACAGACUGGAACUUUAAUAUUAAUCCAUGCGAUCAAGGCGAUACUUGGUUGAACCAAUCCACACGUUAUUAUGCUAAUAAUGUUACUUGUGAUUGCUCCUUCAACAAUAACACUACCUGCCAUGUCACCCACAUGUAAGUAUAUACAUAUUAUAAUGAAAAUUUAUCCAUCAUUGAGUUGUGACCAAACUUGAUACAUCUAUUCAUGGAUUAUAUAUAGUUUUAGAUCUCAUCUAAAGUUUACUAAAAGUGAGAGAGAGGCAUGAUACAAAUAUGAGAUAGAGAUAUAUAAUAAUUUUGUCUUUGAAAUUGUCCAUUUGUACCUAGUUGGUCCUUAAAACUUUUUUGAACUUAGUUGAUCCCUGAACAUGUAUUUCAUCAAUCAGGUUAGUCCCUCUACACUAGUACCAUUAGUUUGUGCUACUGUGACAUUUUAGCCAAGGACGAAGCUAGAAAUUAUUUUAGGGAAGGCCAAAAUUAAAUGUUAAUUUUUAUGAUAGUAAAAAUGUAAUUUCACCAUUUGAAUAGUCUAUAUCUUUAUAAUUUUUAAAGAAUUAAAUUAAUUUUUUAUAAUUUUGUGGGGUUAAAGUGUAAUUUUACCUUUAUUAAUUUAAAAUUUAAAUAAUCUAAAGGGCUUAAAUGAAAAAUUUUCUAUUUUAGGGAGGUCAGGGCACGACCAACCUCCCUAACUAUGCCCCUAUUUCUAGCCAAUCUAGUAGUACCACGUAGUAACCUCUCAAACAUAAUUUAUAUUUCUUAGUUUAUGUUUAUCAUGUGACAAAAACUAUAAUAAUUAGAAUACAAAUAUUCAAAUUAAAAAAAUAAGAGGAUUAAAUUUUUAACUUUUAAAAUAAAAAUAUUAAAUCUCAAAUUUUGUAGAAAUACAAGUACUAACUUCAUAUAAUUUGUUAAUAUGUUUUAGGGUUAAAGAGGUUGUGAGACUGUAUGUAUAAUUUUGGUUAGCAACCUCAAUUAAAUAUUUUGUCUUUGUUCAAGAUUUCCUUUUUUGAAUGGGUUAUGACGACUUUUGAAGUUUAAAAACAUAUAUAAAUGUUAAAUAAUUGCUUAAUUAAUUUAUUUAUAUAUUACAUAAAGCUUUUAAUUUUGGGGGGUCAAUAUAAAGCUGCAAAUUAUGACUUACUUUAUCUUUGACUGUUGAUAAUAAAUUUAUGACAGCUACUUGCUUGCACAAUUUUAUCUAAUUCUCUUAAUAAAAGUCAAUAGGUUGUGAUGUGAUUAAUAAAUUAAUAACAACUAAUUCUAUAUAAUUACAAUUAAAAGAUAUUAUUAUUUAAUUUUUAAUACAAUAAAUGUCAAAUCAAAAUCCAUGAAAUGUGCUGACAGGAGUGGUAAGUGGAUGACAAUGUAGUACAAUUAAUUUAAGAGCCACUGCUUAGGGUGAGUUUGAAUGGGCAGUGCGUUUACCUGCGGUUUGUAUAAAAAUAGCGGUGAUGGUAAAAUUAGAUAUUAUAAUAAUACUGUAGUGUAAGAUAAAAAAUAGGUUAAACGCACCAUACCACAUUCAAUCUCCCAUCCAAACUCACUCGAAAUCGCCACCGCAUGUCGGUCCAACCUUUUGUUGGCCACCAACGUCUCUCUUUUGAAAAAUGCCUUAACAAUAUACUAUCCAAUUUUAGCCUUUUACUUUAUUCUUAAUAUAUUUAAACGAUACAUAUGUUAGCUUUUUUAGUCUACGACUAGUUUCAUGAUACUUGUUUAAAUUGGAUCAAAUAGAUUAAUUCAAUCCGUUAGAUUAUUGAUUUAGAUAUUUGUAUUAAAUUAAUUGACUCAAGAUUUAGUAUAUAUAGUUUGAAUUGAUUUUUUUUUACUUUUUAUUUAUUUAAUUAAAUCGUUUGAAUUGAAUUGGGCGAAUUAAGAAAUUAACAACUUGACUAAAUUGAACGAUGAUUUAAUUUUAAAAAUCUUAAAUGUUACAGACGUAGCACAUGAUUUUAUGUAUUUAACAUUUUACUUAAAUAAUAUAUUUAUACUUAUUGUAAUUGGUUUUUUAAUACAUUAAUUGAAAUGUUAAACAUAAUUAAUAUAUAUUAAUUUACUCAAUAAUUUAAAUAUAAUAAGAAAAAAUUUUCAAUUAUAAUUAAAACAUUUAUAUUAUAUUAAAAAUGAUAUAUUUUAAAUUGAAAAUUUUUAUAAUAAUAAAUUAAAAUUAAAAUAUUUGUAUUAUAUUUAUAUUCGAUAUACAAUAUAAUUUUAUUUCAUUAAUUAAUUCAAAAUAAUAUUAUUCAAAUAAUAACCAACAUAUAUAUAUAUAUAUACUUGCUUUUUUAUUCUAUGACUAAUAUAAAUGUUCUUUUAAUAGCUUAAUUUGAAAUUUACAUAUAAUAAUUAUUUAGAUAUUUCCUUUUUGCUUGAGAUCCAGGGAUAGAAGUAGCCAGGAUCUUCGCUCCAUUACUUAAAUAAAAAUAUUAUUUUUUUAAUCUCUUAGAAUUUAAAAAUUUUAUUUUAAAUAUUUUUAGUCCUUAUAAACUAAAUAAAAAAAUGCUUAAGAUUUUUUUUUAACUUUCAAAAGAAUCUCAAAUUUUUUUAUCUAAAAAUAUUUUAAUUUUUCAAAAUAUUUACUAAAACGAAUCUAAUAAUUAAUUCUCCGUAUUAUGUAGAUUCACGAUUUUAAACAAGAUUAAAAAGAUGGUUAAUGUUAAAAAAUUAUGACUUUUGAUUACCGUGUUUUUACCAAACACAUAUUGAUUCUGAAUGUGAAUUUUUUUAUUAUAGAUUUUAGCAACAGACCCCUAACUUAGUUUCUGUAUCAGAUUGCUUAAGUCACAAAAUCUCUCGGGGACUCUCCCACUAAACUUGACAAGUCUCCCUUUCUUGCAAGAAAUGUAAGCACAUUUCAAGUGUUCCUCUAUAAUGAUAUAUAUAAAUGAAGAUUAUUUGUUUUUCAGCAACUAUAUAUCUACUAAUUUGUUGUUUUAAAACUACUAUUACAGUGACCUAACUCGCAACUAUCUUAGUGGCACCAUUCCCUCAGAAUGGGGUUCUGCUACCCGACUCGUCGGCAUGUAUGUUUUCUCCUACUUUCUCUUUCAUGGUUGUAUGUAUAUAUCUUUCAUGGUUUUGAAAUAAUUUCUCGUAACUACAAUAUGUACGCAUGUAUAUGUAAAUGUUGUUAAAUGCAAAUGAUGUGCUGUAUUUCAGUUCCCUUUUUGGAAAUCGAUUAACAGGCCCAAUCCCAGUAGAGCUAGCAAAUCUCAGAAAUCUUACCUCCUUGUGAGUUAGAUUAUAUCAAUUUCUUUUAUAUAAAUAAAUAUAUAAGAUGAUGAUAACUUUUUUUCAUCUUUUUAAUGAAUGUCUAAUGGUUAAUUAAUUUUAUUUAUUGAAAAAACAUUGUGUAGAAUCCUUGACAACAAUGGUCUUUCAGGAACUUUGCCUGCAGCACUAGGGAGUCUAUCCAAAAUUGAGCGAUUGUAAGAGAGAUUUUUUUUUUCCUUUUUAAUUCUAGCUGGAUUUCAUUUCAUUAUAUGUGCAGUAUUUUUUAUCAUGUAAAUGAUUUAAGAUCUAUUUACUGGUUUUUUCAGACAUCUUAGUUCCAACUAUUUUACUGGUAAAAUACCUGAAACCUUUGCUAGUCUGACUUCAUUGAAGGAAUUGUAAGCAAUUCUAUUUUCUAGUGCUCCUUUUAAUACAUAUCAUUCGAUAUUUUCAAUAUAUUUUAUAUGAUAUGGUUAUGAUAAUUUUGUAUUCUCAACAGUCGGAUUAGUGACAACAAUUUUACAGGACAAAUUCCUGACUUAAUAUUCCAAAAUUGGACAAAUCUUAAAGCGAUGUGAGAAUUUAAUUUAACAUUUUCUUUAUAUACUUUAAUUUUUUUUCCUUAAUUCAUUAGAAUUUUCGUUUUAUCAAUCAAUUAAAUGAAUCUAUCUUUUUUGUAAUGACAGAUAUAUGGAGGGAAGUGGUUUGAGUGGACCAAUUCCAUCCAUUAAUGCUACUUUACAUAACUUAACAUACAUGUAAGCUCCAAUGAUCUUAAAAGGUCGUGACAAUAUUCAUUACAUAAAAAUAAACACAACUUAAUUUCUUAUUUAUGUUUGUAUAUGGUUCUUGGUAUUGUUUUACAGAAUAAUUAGUGACUUGAAUGGAGCUGAUACAACUUUUUCACAAUUGCUGAUCGCCACUUUGCCUAAAUUGAAAAGCCUGUAAGCAUAAAUCUGAAAUAAGGCAAAGAUGUAUUAGAGUUAUGAGAUAUUACGGAGUUCCAAAAACAAAAACAAUGGAAUUAUUUUGUGAUUGAAUUACAGGAUGUUGAGGAGUUGCAAUCUCAUUGGAGAGAUACCUAUUUCUUUUGGGACAUUUACAUCCAUAAAGAUAUUGUAAGUAAUUACACUUUCUUUUGAGAGGUUCAAGUUCAGUUUGAUUGUAGACUUACGUGUGGUUUAAUACCCGUUUUACAAAUUUUGUUGCAGAGAUCUCAGCUUUAAUAGACUUAGUGGAAAAAUUCCAGAUGUGCUUUCUAAUCUUAAUUUCGAUAAUAUGUAAGGAUAUGGCUUUUAGUUGUAGUGUGUAAAUUGCAUUUUCUUUAUUUAUAUACUCAUUUGGAUUUUAUUAGGUUCUUAAAUGGAAACAAUUUUAAUGGAUCAGUCCCUCAAUGGAUACUCAAAACAAGAGAAAAAGUGUAAGAUUCUCUUUCUUAUUUAAAUGCUCGAUCCCAUUGAUUAUAGUUUGAUUAACCAAAAUCAAAAUUAUUGCACAAAGACAGUUAAUUACUAUUUAUUGAUUUUUCUACAUUAAUUAGUAGUCAAGGAUUUGAUCUUCUCACUUCUCACUGUGUAUGAAGUAGUUUUAUAACUCUUGUCCGGUAUCUAUCUUCUUAGUGAACAUACAAAUAAAAAGGAUUAAUCAGUGACUUGCUCCGUAUUCUAAUGCAGGGAUCUUUCUUAUAACAACUUCACAAACACAGGUGUAUCAGAUUGCCGACAAAAUAGCGUGUACAACAACUUCCUCAUCCAACUUCAUUACUGGAUCUUUCUUAUAAAAUAUCAAUCAUUUUUUUGUUAUAAUUUUUCCUCCAUUAUCGACCUGUAGGAACUUGUUCUCAAGCAUUGCAAGAGUCAAUAACACGUAAGUAUUAAGACAACAACAAUCAUUAAACUAAGUCUUUGUCUUUCAUCUAACUUUAUAAUUGUUUUAUCAGGGGAAUUGUUCCAUGUUUGACAAGCCAAAUUACCUGCCCAUCAGAACGUAAGUAUUUAUAUAUAUUUGAUGCACUAAUAAUAUAACUCAAUUAUUUUAUUCAAACUGUUGUUGAUUGUUAUUUUCCUCAGCUUUGCACUUUGUCCAUAUAAAUUGUGGAGGGAGAAAAAUAACUGUUAAUGGCAUCACUUACGAAGCCGAUUUCGGUCAAGCCGGGACUUCGACAUUUUACCGCAGUAUUACCAACUGGGCAUUUAGCAGCACCGGAACUUUUCUAAACGAUGACCGCCCCGACGACGUCUUAGAUUUGGAAAGUAGACAACUUUCUAGCAAUGGUGGCAAUGAACUGUACACAGAUGCAAGGGUUUCGCCUAGUUCUUUGACUUACUACGCAUUUUGCCUUGCCAAUGCAACUUACAAUGUAAGCCUCCAUUUCGCCGAGAUUCAGUUCACUAAUGGUGAAACUUAUAGCAGCUUAGGGAGGCGGAUGUUCGAUAUUUACAUUCAGGUAUUUUUAAUAUCGUUCUUGCUAGAAUUUCUGUUUAUAUUAUUCUUUAGAUAUAUAUAUAUUACGUUAUCCGGAUUUAAACUGAGUGUCAAAUUUUUCGUAAGAGUAUUUUCCGUGUCUUUAAAAAAUUUAAAAUUUAAGCUAAAUGUUAAAACUAAGCUUUACGACUUGUGCUGCAUGGAAAGCGAAGUUCAAUGGAAUGGAUUAUAUUAAUUGCAGGGAGAGCGGGAGAAGCAAGAUUUCAAUAUUGUAGUAGCAGCAGGAGGGGCAGGCCUAUCAAGAGUAGAAAGAUUCAAUGCAAAUGUAACCGAUGGCACUUUGGAGAUUCAUUUCAGAUGGGCUGGAAAAGGGACGACUUCUUUGCCCGAGAGAAGCAUUUACGGUCCGCUAAUCUCAGGAAUCUCUAUUUUCAAUCCUGGUAGGUUUUCAACUUCCAUUGACUCUUAUUGUCUCCGAUUAAUCGCAUUUACCCGGACAUUUAGAGAACAAAAACUCUAUUCUUGAAUCUAUAUUAUUAUAAAGGGGCGGAUUGAAUUUGGUUAGAAUAAAAUAAAAUAACUUUCUUUAAUUCUGAAAAACAUAAGAAUAAAGGAUAUAACUAUUAUCAAGUAUAAUUUUUUUUAAUUAUAUAAGAUUAAGGGUGGAGAUGGAUUAAUAUAAUUUUUAGCUUCUGACAAGUAGGUUCAUUUUAUUUUUAUUUUUAUCCCCUUUAGUAUCUGAAUUUCACAACUAAAUCCCUUUUUUUAUCCAUAAAAAUUUGAUCAAUUGGCACUUUAUUUAAAAAGAAAAUUCAAGUGAUGACAUGACACAAUCUCAUAGUACCAUGUCAACAAACUUUUACACUUGCCAAAUUCAAAGAUAAAAAUGGACCUAUCUAUCAAUUUUAUAUACCAAAGUGAACAAAAUAAUACAAAUAUUAAAAUAGACUUCAUUGUCAAAUUGAAAGACUAAAAGUUAUAUUAACCCAUAUGUAAUUUAUAAAACUACCAAAUUCAAAUAUAGGUUCCUUAUUUUCUUUUGAGUUAAUAUGUAGUUUUCAGUAAAAGUACAAUAGAAGCCUAUGUAUUAGGAAUCAAAUUUUAUUUUGCUUUAUUUACUAAAAAGUAGAUAAAUUAGUUCUUGUACUUUAUAUCAAAGAGCAAAUUGGUCCUGUAUAUUAAAAUUUUUAUCUAUUUCUAUAGUUAAAAACUAGUCAACUAGCAUGGUUGACGAAAAAACUAACUUCUUAUUUUUAAAAAAAUUAUUUAUUUUUUGAAUUUUAUAUGAAGUGUAAAUGGACUACCACAUCAAUGCUAUUAAAAUUGUCGUGGUCCAAUCAAUUUUUUAUUCAAAAAAAUAAAAAUUUAACUAAAUUUUGAAUACUAAAAACCAAAAUGACAAAAAAGUAACAGCUAGUGCUAAAUUUAUCAUUAUUACUCUACAAAAAUCAUUGAAUUCUGUUGAAGUGAAUUUCUCCCCUUUAUCAAACCUCAAAGACUUAAUCACAUAGCCACUCUUCUUUUCCACAAAAGUUUUCAAAAAAAAAAAAAUUUAAUGCAUCAAAUUUUUGCUUUAAGAAGUAAACUCAAGUUUUUCUAAAUAGCAAAAAAGCAUUUGUUUUUAGCAAAUGAUGACAGCUGACUUUUUCCACACGCAUUGAUAUCAACAUGUUGAAGUGGCUUGACUGCCUUUAAUGUCACUUUUUAAGGAAAGUCCUUCUCUUGCGUUCUUGCUUCGAAGACAUGCCUCACACAAUUAAUUAGGAUAGUUAAUUUACAAAGUUCAAGUGACUAAGCCUUAUAUACUGACAUCAUGAUUCUUUCGAUUAUCUUCAAAUCCAACAUAAAUAUCACAUUAUAUGAGAUGAAUACUUUGCAAUCAAGUUAGAACCAUAAACUUUUAAUUAAAAACAAUUUUUCAUGUGAAAUUUCAAAUUAUUAUUUAAAAUUUUGUCUUAAACUCGAAAUAUUAUUUUAUAGCUUAAGACUAUCUUUUAAAAAUAAAUUAGAAUAUAUAUUUCCAUUGAAUUUCGACUUUCGAAAAGUUUACAAAUGAAACAUUGUCAGAAAAUGUUUUCAUCGUCAUUUUCUUCAUUUUUGAGUGUUCAAAACAAAGUUGGCUUAUCUUUAAUGAGAUUGAUGUUUUCUUCAUUUUUGAUAGUAUCAUUUUGGCAAAUUUAUAAUAAAAGUAACAUUUAACAUUAUACGAGAACACCUCAUUUUGUCUAAUCUCAAGUAAUUUUGUCUUUGCUCUUUCACAAUUUCUAGUUGAUGAGUUACCGCUAUCAUUGUUGCAAUUACUGUGAUCACCUCUUCCACAUCCUCCUUGGCCAAAGCCAUGUCCUCUUCCUCUUUCUCAUCCUCAACAUCAACUUAUUUAUGCUUUUCUUUUCAUUUAUCUUUUAAAUAUAAAUUGGUUUUGAAAACUUGCUCCAAUGACUCAUUUGCUCUUCCUUUAAACUUUUCUUAUUGAUCUUGUAACUCAGUCAUUACUUGGUCAACUGCCAUACAAUCUAAAUAUUUUGACUCAAUGACACAAAUAACGUAAUCAAAUUUUGGAAUCAAGGAAAGAAGAAUAUUUACGUUCAUAUUAUUAUCUUGCAAUGUUUCUUCAUAUCUCUUUAUUUGAUUCAUAAUAGCCAACAUCUUUAAAUAAUGAUUCAAUUUUUUUUUCAAAUUACUUCAUUCGCAAAAUACCAAGUUUAUUUUUCACUUUGUCAACUCCUUAAAAAGAACUUUACAAAACUUUCCAAGCUUCUUUUGUGGUAAUAGCAUUGAUCACUUUCACAAACAUCAAUUCUUCUAAACAUUAGUACUAGUGGACGAGGGUGAAACUUUGUUGAUCCUUCUUUAUUGUCUUUACCAAAGCAUCUUUCUCAUUUUACAAUAAUGAUAAAUUAUUUUGUGGAGGAUAAUAACCAUAUCUCGUGAGAUUGGAUAAGAUAAACCAAAUAAUUAAUUAAUAACAUAUGAACAAAUGUACUUAAAUUUGCAUACAUAAUCUAGAAAUUUAAAUUACAUAUCCAACCAAGGAUAGAACUACACCUCUUUCCUUUUUUCGAUAUCUUAAUAACACUUGUAUAUAAUGAUUUGAACCAAGAUUUUCACGUCGUCUUUGGAGCUGACUCUUAUAUGUAAAGUUUAUAAACCAGGUUAUAAACCUCCAUCAAAAAGCGGCAGUGGUCCUCUACCGAAAAAGGUUGAUCGUAUCUCGACAGCUGCAAUGGCUGGUAUCGUGGCCGGAGCAACGUUUGCUACUUUUUUUAUUGUAGGCAUCUUUUGGUGGAAUUGCUGUUAUAAAUUAGAUGAUGAAAUAUCUGAUGUUCUCUUUGGCGAUGAAUUCCAAAAUGGAAUGGAACUUCGGAAGUUUUCCUUGGUACAAAUAGCUAAAAUGACCAAUAAUUUCAAAGGUGAAAAACUAGGAGAAGGAGGGUUUGGUGUAGUUUAUAAAGGGUACUUGAGGGACUUGGAUACUUAUGUUGCUGUUAAAAGGAUUUCAAAGGCCUCUAAGCAAGGAAUUAAGGAAUAUGCAUCUGAAGUGAAGAUUAUUAGCCGAUCAAGGCACAAGAAUCUUGUGAAGCUUAUUGGUCAGUGUCAUGAAAAAGGAGAACUUAUACUUGUUUAUGAGUUUAUGGCUAAUGGCAGCCUAGAUUCCCAUCUUUUUAAAGGUAAAACCUUAUUGACUUGGGAAGUGAGAUUUAAAAUUGUGCAGGACCUGGCAUCAGCACUAUUCUAUCUACAUGAAGAGGGUGACCAUUGCGUACUACACAGAGAUAUCAAAGCGAGCAACAUUAUGUUAGAUUCUAGUUUCAAUGCUAAACUUGGGGAUUUCGGGCUUGCUAGGCUAGUGGAUCAUGCAAAAGCGUCACAAACCACCCAUUUAGCUGGGACUAUGGGCUAUUUGGCACCUGAAUGCGUUUCAUCGGGGAAGGCUAGCAAGGAAUCGGAUGUCUACAGUUUUGGAGUUGUGGCAUUGGAGAUUGCAUGUGGUAGAAGAUCAAUAGAGCCCAAAUAUGAAGAAUCUCAAGCUUCGUUGGUAGCCUGGGUGUGGAGUGCAUAUGGAAGCCAACAGUUGCCUGAUGUAGCUGACCCAAAACUAUGUAUGAACUUUGAUGCUAAACAAAUGGAAUGCUUGUUAAUGGUUGGACUGUGGUGCGUCCAUCCAGACCAGCAUUUAAGACCGUCUAUAAGGCAAACAAUUCAGGUUUUUAAUUUCGAAGCACCGUUGCCGAAGCUUCCAGGUAGGAGGCCAAAUCCCACAUAUGAUGCACAAAUCACUUCAGAAAUUGAAGCAAGUGAGCCAUGUUUUUCUAGUAUGAGUAUUACAGUGCCGCGUUAGACUCAUAUAAUUAUCAUAUACAUAAUAUUCAAAUUUUAAAUUUACACAACAAUGGACAUAGGGCAUAUUUGAGUGUUGGGCUAUUAAUUGGGUCAUGUUUUGGGCUUAGUACUCUCCUAAAAUUUGGACUGUUGUUCCAUCAAUUAAUCAACUUUUAAAUACGUCUAAUGGUUGAAUUAAACAAAUUUAAAUUAUCGAUUACAAAAGAACAUAUAAACUUAUAAAACUAAUUUAUUUUUUUUCUUGUUGUAUGUAAUUCUUCCUUUUCAAAUCUAUACUUAUUAUAAAACCUCUUAUUAAAUUGAUGUCACUUUAUAAAAUAAAUUACAUUAUAUUUAGAAUAUUUUUAUCAUUUUAUAUAUUUUUUAUAGAAAAAUAAACACAUAUAAUAAGAUUUUAAGCUCGCAUCUUUUUAUUUUUUUUAAAAAAAAUCAUGUCUCUUUAAAAUUUUUUAGAUUUUUAUAUUACCAUUCAAUCAAAACAUCAUUUAUUGUUUAUAUAUUAUUUUUUAGGAAUAUAUUUAUUAUAUGGUUUAAUUUUUCACCCAACCUAUCAACCAAAAUUCACUAUUCAUGUAUGAAAAUUUCAAAAAUAAUAUUUUUUAAUUUUUAUAUAUUUAGAUUUAAAUUUAAAUAAAAUAAUUUUAAUGAAUAAAUAAAAAUUAAAUCCAGAUCGUGCCUACAGAAAACUUAAAAUUUCCUUAUUCAAGAUCGGGCUACCAAGCUGCUUAAUCCUUCAAGUAUAAAUAAGGUCCUAUAAUUAUUAAAAUAUUAAAAAAUAAUUUUAUUUUUAAUGAUAAUUCAAGUAGAGCUUAGCUCUCCUAAAUGGAAAAAAUCUCUUCCAGACACAACCGAAAGACAAGUCAACAAUUUCUGUAUUACCAAAUAAUAUAGUAUAAAAAUAUUUCAAUUUUUUUUUUUGGAGGUAACAAUAUUUCAAUUACUAUUCAUAUAUAUGUAUGUAUGUAUGUAUAAUAGCUAGUUGGAAUGUAAAACUUUUGCAAGUCAAUUAAUUAGGUCAUUUAUCAUAUCAUUGCCCUCUUUUGUUAACUACUAGUUCAAAAGAUUGAGGAAUAAAUUUGAUUUUAUUUGGGAUUCAUUUUCUACAGUGCUUUAGCUAAUGUUUAAUGAAAUUAAUUGCUUGUUGAUUUAGCUAAUUGCCGGUAGUUUAUGAGUGGCAUUCAAUAUUACUAACUAUAAAUUGCCAUUGAGGUAGUUAAAAGCUCGUCUAAUUUACUUGAAUAAUUUAAUGAAGAAAAUCGUUUAACCUAGUUAUAUGCUAUUUAAUUGAAGAUAUUUUAGUCCCUCUUCUUAGCCUAUUCUAAAAUUGCUCCUGAUAAGAUUUGAAAAAAGAUAACUCAUAUUUUUGCUGAGCUGUAAAAUUGGUUAUUUCAGCUAACUAACUUUAUCCUCUUUAUUACCAAUUUAUGUAUAAAUCUGCUACCCCUACUAUUGACAAAGGCAGACCGGUUAAACGACAUUUCAGCUUACUUCUCUUGUUUGUUGUAUUUUUCUACUCAUGAUACUUGUUUUCUAAUUCCUCUAUGGAAACAAAUUUUUGGGUUUUAGAGAUUGGAUAAAUUAACCGUUCAAAUGUGGAGGAUCGAUCAAGAUUUUGCAGUUGUUUUAGAAGUUAUAUCUUCGAUUGAUUGUAUUUUGAUUAUUAUGAUUGUAUUAACUAUUUUUAAGAAAUUACUUUAUAUUCACUUAAAUUUAAUGUUAGCAAGCCGGAUUGAAUAUAUGAUGAGAGACUUGUAUAGAUUUUGUAUGAAAGUUUAUUGAGUGCAUUCGAAUCUAUUCAUUAAUUAAAUAACAGUUUAUAAGAGAGAGCAAGUUAUAUUGUAAACAUUAUUGAGGGUGUUUGAUGCCUAAGUUCUCAAGGGGGUUUUAGAGGUUAGUAUUCUAGUUCUUGGGUAUAAAUAUGAGAUCUCUAUACUUGGGGAGUGGUGGAGUGUGAUUCAUUUGUUAUAUUCGUAUUCAAAGAUAGUAAAAUUACUCACUAAACUAGACUUCGCAAACAUAAGAAAACUGAACUGUGUAAAUAAACCUCCGUGUUAUUUUUUUUUAUUUACACGAUUUUUCUCAAUACCAAACCCUAGUGACUACUACAAUCAAGUACUUUCAUUAUAGUUCUGUAUUUCAGCAAAUAAACAGCAUGAAGUAACAACAAGCUUCAAUUUAAAAUUAAUUUAAAAAUACUUUAAAGAAAAUUUGUUUAUAACAGAUAGUAUUUCAACCUUUCUUAUGAAAUUAAUUUUUUUCUAAUAUUAUAUCAAAUAUUAAAAAAAUAUUCAACUCAAAUUGAAUGAGUAUGUAAUUAUUUCUCAAAUUAAAUUUUGACCCUAUUCAUAAACAUUAAUUAGUUUUUUUCUUAAUAAACAUUUUCGGCUUCAACGUAGAAGUAUGGGACCUCCCAUGCAAGAUAUUUUAACAACUUGCUAAUAUAAUAAAGGAUUUUCAUUUGCAAAGUCAUACAAAACAUCCAAUCAUAUAUAAACAUAGAAUAUAAUCAAGAAAUAAUAAAACAACUAAUCGGAUAUCUACUGGGAUUCAGUGUAGUUCUACCUAAAGUGGAUUCCUAAGGUUCAUUAUAUGCGGUUCGGUUCUAAAGUAAAGGUACCCGAACCGGCAGAUUCCUCGAUCUUCACCCAUUAUAGGCUCAUAUAGAUCAAGUUCAGUUCAGGGGGACACAUUUUCCCUAUGACUAUACGGAGAUGAAAAUCUCACGAAGGCAUAGGUACCGAUGUAUCCCGAAAGCAAUCCACUAUCCUAUACGAAGGUGAAAACCUUACGAAGGAAUAGUUUCUCACUCCCACUUAAAAGGGUAAAAUCAUUCAACUCAUGUAUAAUGCAAAAAUAACUCAAAUACUUAGAUUGAUUAAGCAAGAAAAUGAUGAAUGCAAAAGGAUCUUAUGAAUUUUUUUAAAAUUUAUUUUUCGACCAUAAGACAGAAAUUAAUCAGUUUUGUGGCUCGGCUCUCUUAUUUUAGUCCCCAGUGGAGUUGCCAAGCUGUCGAAACCAUUUUUUGUUUUGAAAAAAAAAACAAAAAUUAGUUGUCGACUUUAAAAAAAAUAAAAAUUGGGAGUCGCCACCAAUCUUUUAUUGAGGUGUGAUUGGAUCACCUAAACAAUAGCUUUGGUCUACGAGUUUUAGAAAAAUGGAUUCGGGAGUCGGUUACGUACGAGGAAGGAUUAGCACCCUCGUAACGCCCAAAAUUGGUACCUAGUUAAUUAAUUAGUGUCCUAAUGUCGAAAAUUUAAAAAUAUGAUCCUUAAUAAAAACUAAAAAAUGUUACUUAUUAAGACUCUUACCAUUUCAGAGAAAGAAAAUGUCACACCCAAUGCGUUGGGGCACGACAUUCUAUUUCCUCAAAAAUGAUUUAGUCCAAAAUACUCUUAUAAUAAAAAUUUAAAAGAAUAUCCAUUUAUUUAAGAUUUAAGAAAUCGCGGCCCAAUACGUUAGGGCACAAUUUCUCAAAAUCCUAAACUUGGAAUAUUUCCUUUGUUAUCAUUUUUAAAAAAAAUAUUUGUCUCGAGAAAUCAAUACGUCACAUCCAAUACGUUAGGAUACAACAUAUUAAAUUCCCGACAACAAGUUUUUCAUUUUAUUUUUUGAUUAAUGAGCAACUCUCAAACGUUAGAUUUAACGAAGAAAAUCGGAACCCAAUACGUUAGGGCUCAAUUUCCUUGAAAAUCCUAAAUACGAGUAUUAUCUCAAUUUUGAAAAUUUUUGAAUAAAAUGAUUUUUGAUGCUUGAAUGAUAUCGAACAUAGCCUUUUAAGCGAAUAGAAUGCGAUAAAUGAUAAUAUACAACAUGGAGCGAUAAUUCGUAAAUAAAACAUACACUAAUGAAUGAUAAAUAAUAAAUGAAUUCGAAAGAAAAUACAUAAACCUAUUUAAGAGAGAAUUUAAAGGUAAUAGAUAAAAUAAUAUGAAAUCAAUAAUAUAUAGAAUAAAAAUAAUUUAUUACAAAUUAUAUAUGUAUAUAUAAAAUAGUAUUGUAUAAAAACAUUUUCAUAUAAAUCUUUAAGACAUAUAAAUAUGUAAAGUGAAUUUCGAAAAUAUAUUACAAAAUAGGGAUAUCAAAGAAUAUAUACAAAUCAUGUUGAAUUUACCUAAAAUAUAAAAAAGUGUGAUAAAUCGAAAUAAUAGCAAUAUAUAUUGAAUUUCAAAAUAAUGAUACAUUAUAAUUUUUUAAAAAGGGUAAUAUAUACAUAUAAUUCAAUAAACUUAUAUCCAUAAUACAUAUAAAACGUAAAAUAAAAUGGAAAAUACUAAGCUUAAUCAUUAAAAUAGUAUUAGAUUCAAAAUUUAAUAUAUUUAAAAAAAAUAGUGGUGUAAGAAAUCAAGCACAUUGAAUUAACAAUGAUUUAAAUUGAACUCCAAACAAAAUUAAAGGGGAAAAAAAGAAGGGCCCAAUUAAAAGGCGCGAAUAACUCAUAGGGCUCGAAUGGGAAAAUAUCUCCAUCCUUUGAAAUGCGUCACUUUAUUAGGGCUAAAAAAUAAAAUAAAAUUCGCAAUGGUAUCACCUUUUCCCUUUUUUUAAAAUCGUAAAUAAGUAAAAAAAAACAGUAAGCCACCUUUAAAAAACUGCCAAUCGUUCUCCCUUUUUUUAAUGAUUUUUUUUCUCCCUCCACAAUGAAGGGAGAGGCUUUUAUUUAUAGUUGAGCCUCCCAAAAUCCAACGGUACAGAUCAAUUACAUCAACGGCUAAGAUUAAAGGGUAUCUACAAAUUAAAUCUAUAAGAUUACAAAAUCAUAUCUUCUAAUAUUGCAUACCAUAUCCAAGAUUGCAUAUAUCAUAUCUAAGAUUGCAUAUCAUAUCUAAGAUUGCAUAUCCUUGAAGAUUAUGUUUCCAUUAGCUUGUAGAUGGACCUUCAACCUUUUUAAGUAAUGGGCCAUUCCGAUCGGGUCAAAUGAUAUAAUUUGUACUAGAUUUAGACUUUAUUUUAUUAUUGUGAGCCUGGGCUAAAAUUGGGUAUUACAAGGAGGGUUUGGUGUAGUUUAUAAAGGGUACUCGAAGGACUUGGAUACUUAUGUUGUUGUUAAACGGAUUUCAAAGGCCUCUAAGCAAGGAAUUAAGGAAUAUGCACCUGAAGUGAAGAUUAUUAGCCGAUCAAGGCACAAGAAUCUUGUGAAACUUAUUGGUCAGUGUCAUGAAAAAGGAGAACUUAUACUUGUUUAUGAGUUUAUGGUUAAUGGCAGCCUAGAUUCC
rnacentral:lncRNA from 1 species